CACAGAGGGGCUUUUGUACCCAGGAGGGCCCUGCAGGGUCCUGCUUGGUUUCACACUCUUGGAAGUUCACAAAUGCCCCAUUUUAAAAGACCUCUUGGCCAGGCACCUGGGUUUCUGCGGCCAGUCCAUGGGCUGCCACGCUGCACGUGUACACCGGACUUUAGCCCACUGACAGCUGGUGUUAGUUAUCCUUUCCUCAGAGAGUGAUGCUAUUUAAGUGGUUCAUUUGUUCAUCUCUUCUUUCUUCCUUCGUUCAUUUCCUAGCCCUUUCCGUAGAGUAUUUGAAGAGGUCUAAUGUAGUGUGACCUGAGUUUUGUUGGAUGGCCCAGAAUUGAUUUCAUUUUUUCUCUUCAGUUUAGCUCUACAGGCACUUAGGCAAGAGAGUAGAUCAAGGCCCAGUCCCUGCACCAGGGAGCUUACUGCUCAGUGGGGCAGGCGGACGCUCCAGCAGUGACAGCGGGGUAGGGAGUGCUGUGAUGCCGCGCUCCAGGGCACGCGGGAGGCCUUUCAUAUCCGGCAGCUUCCUAAUGGGGUAACUCCCAUCCUGGUGAGCAAACCAAGGCUUAGAGAAAUGAAGUAUUUCACUCAAGGCAACAACAGCUAAGAGAACCCAAGAGCCAAGUCUGCGUGCAGGGAAAAAGACCUCACGGCCCGUGCUCUUAACCACUGGCUCUGUUUUUAUGCCUUUGUAAGACUGUCGAUAAGUCUCAGAGGAGGAAAAAAAUACUUUGCGUCAGAUUUUGGUGUGGAAAACCAGCCUCCUUAUACACAGUUUCAUAUGGAUGGGUACAUGGCUUGGACGAAGUGUUCGUGCCCAGUGACUGGGGAUCCAGUGUCCAUCUGGGGUCUGCAUACUUUGAUUUUUUUUAUUGUUGUCCUUAGGUUUUUAUUUCUUUUUUUUUUAAAUUGACGUACAGUUUACAAUGUUGUGUCCAUUUCUGGUGUACAGCAUAAUGUUUCAAUCAUACAUAUACAUACUUUGGUUAUUAUCAGCCUGAGUUGGGAUGGUGUUCAGGUUGAGACUAUUUUCACAACAAAAUGCCCCAUAUUUGUGUGUUUUAUCAUAUAUCCCAUAUGAUUAUGAAAAAGAGAAGAUAGGAACCAUUUUCCAGAUGAGGAAACUGAGGAUCAGGGAUGUGAAGGGACUUGCCUGAGGAUACAAGGUGCCCAUCUGACCCUGGUUGGACACCUUACCCUCUGCUACCUGGCUGCCACCUAACCCUCCCUGCCCCUCACAUAGGAAUCAUAGGAAUAGCCGAGGAUGAGAUAUCACAUUGGUCAGUGUCCCUCACU